rnacentral:rRNA from 1 species
GAGUUUGAUCCUGGCUCAGAUUGAACGCUGGCGGCAGGCCUAACACAUGCAAGCCGAGCGGUAGAGAGAAGCUUGCUUCUCUUGAGAGCGGCGGACGGGUGAGUAAUGCCUAGGAAUCUGCCUGGUAGUGGGGGAUAACGCUCGGAAACGGACGCUAAUACCGCAUACGUCCUACGGGAGAAAGCAGGGGACCUUCGGGCCUUGCGCUAUCAGAUGAGCCUAGGUCGGAUUAGCUAGUUGGUGAGGUAAUGGCUCACCAAGGCGACGAUCCGUAACUGGUCUGAGAGGAUGAUCAGUCACACUGGAACUGAGACACGGUCCAGACUCCUACGGAGGCAGCAGUGGGGAAUAUUGGACAAUGGGCGAAAGCCUGAUCCAGCCAUGCCGCGUGUGUGAAGAAGGUCUUCGGAUUGUAAAGCACUUUAAGUUGGAGAAGGGCAGUAAAUUAAUACUUUGCUGUUUGACGUUACGACAGAAU